rnacentral:rRNA from 1 species
CCUACGGGAGGCAGCAGUGAGGAAUAUUGGUCAAUGGGCGUAAGCCUGAACCAGCCAAGUCGCGUGAGGGAUGAAGGUUCUAUGGAUCGUAAACCUCUUUUAUAAGGGAAUAAAGUGCGGGACGUGUCCCGUUUUGUAUGUACCUUAUGAAUAAGGAUCGGCUAACUCCGUGCCAGCAGCCGCGGUAAUACGGAGGAUCCGAGCGUUAUCCGGAUUUAUUGGGUUUAAAGGGUGCGUAGGCGGCUUUUUAAGUCAGCGGUGAAAGUCUGUGGCUCAACCAUAGUAUUGCCGUUGAAACUGGGAGGUGUGAGUAUGUUGGGGGCAGGGGAACGGCGAGG